AAGUCGUAACAAGGUUUCCGUAGGUGAACCUGCGGAAGGAUCAUUACAAUACGUUCCACACGUAUCAACCAAAACGUUGAACUGAAAUGCGUCCGAUAGGAAAUAGGGUUCAUGGGCCGGCGGCUUUGAGGUGGAUACACCAACAAAUCAAAACUUCGGUUUUGAGGUGAUCAAAAGUACCUCGGUCGGUUCUUUCCUUGUCGAGUCUUGGUGCUCGCAACGGAAAGCCCUUUUCCUAGUUCGCGUAUUUAUCCUUUAAAACUACUUUUGAUUGCCUUUUCUUUUUUAACCCCAUUCACCUUUUCAAUUUUAAAACUGUGAACUGAUCUCGAGCUUUUAAUCGGGCUCGAUCAUUUUUACGAAACGUAAGAACAACUCUUAACAACGGAUAUCUUGGCUCUC
rnacentral:misc_RNA from 1 species